GCCUCACGCUUUAUGCAGAUAAGGGAUGACGCAGGCACAGGCCUGCGCGCUACCCGCUUUACGUAGAUGAGGGAUGACGCAGGCACAGGCCUGCGCGCCGCACGCUUUACCUAGAUGAGGGAUGGCGCAGGUACAGGCCUGCGUGCCUCACGUUUUAUGUACAUGAGGGAUGACGCAGGCACAGGAAUUGGCACAACCUGAAGUCAGCUCUGCAGCUUUCCAAGCUUCGUUCUGCGUGUCCUGUACUCAACAGUCAUCUCAUGCUGCAGGGUGGCUGCGUGUGCUCCGUACAUCACACCCAUAUUUCAGGGAGAAGACUGCACAUAUAACGCAGCUCUGCAUGGAAAGCCUUCCGCCUGGAGGUGAGCCUUCCUAGAGGUGUGGCUUUGCCCUCUGUCUUGAACAGGCUGUGAGCCGUUUUGUCAUUUGGGGUUUCUAGAUGCAAACAGCAGAAGCUGCUGGCCAAUCACCAAACGGAACGUGCUGUUAGGAUAUCAGGGCCCGGGAGCUGCAGCAAUGUGGGCUGACAGCAGAGAGCUAAGGCACUUUCUGAGGUGAGGAGCUGGGCUGCUAUGCCGGAGACGGCUGGGCAGAAGCAGUUAGCGGGGCGUUUCCUUGUGUCCUUAGUUCAAGAGUCGCAGUUUCAGGAGUGAGCAUCUCAGAGGUCAGGGUUCAUUCACAUGCCACCUCCCUUCUCACUGUGUCAUUGGGGAGGGGCGCAUCUGGACCCUCUGGCUCCUGUGGCAAGAAAUGGUCCCAUCAAGUCAUCCAAGGGCCUGGAAGGCUCCCAAGGAAAGCAGGAGGGGUGGGUGCUGAGCAGCGUCCAGCAGCAAAGGUAGGCUCCAGCCCCGCAGGUGUGGCUGCGCCAUCCCAGGGAACGUGCCCCAGUAAAUGCUGGUGCUGUUCUCAUUACAGGUGGGGUUGGUUUCACUGGACAGGUGGCGCUUCCUCACCUCUUGCCCUCUGGACCCACGGCAGGCACUUUCCAGGGCAGAUCACGUGGGCAUGCGGUCUGGCUGCUGGGUCCACGCGGGUUCUCAAUUGUGACCUGGCUUGCAAGCUGUUUCCACAGUCGGAUAAAUGAAGCAGUUGGGGAAGUAUCCGCAAACUCUUACAAUGAGUGUGUGAUAAUGACACACGCGUGGCCCUUCUAAGACCUCCUAGGCAUUCUCAGUGACUGUGCUCAUGAGCGCCGACCUCUGCUAGGCGAUAUCAGGGACUGUGCUCAUGAGUGCAGACCUCCGCUAGUGUUAUCAGUGACUAUGCUUGUGAGCGCGGACCUCUGCUAGGCGAUGUCAGUGAUUGUGCUCAUGAGCACGGACCUCCGCUAGGCAUUAGCAGUGACUGUGCUCAUGAGCGCGGACUUUCGCCAGCCACGCUUCCGAGGAGUGGGGUCUUUCUCAGCUCUGCCUCUCCCAGGUGACCAUAUUGUGAAGACGAUGCAUUCUUUAUACACAAGUUCUGUGUGUGUGUGUGUGUGUUUGUGUGUGUGUGUUCCACACACAGGACCAAAGUUGAGAUAGGCGCACAUUUUCUUGGUCCCACUGGUGGCCCCAGUCGGCUGUCAGAAGUGGGCGUGCUCCACAUGUACCCACCAUGUCAGGGCACAGUGCUCACAUUUCACACCUCAGCAGGUGCCUUGAUGUUGACCAGAGGCCCCAAAAUCGUCUCUUUCUGUGACUUCCAGAUCUUAGAUUCCCAGGAACCGGGAAACGCAGUUAGUAUCUUUUGGGUCCAAGAAACUUUGUCAGAGCCCUUGUGGGAGAACCAUAGAUUCUCACUGGAUAAACAGAGGAGCUUCGUGUUAGAGAAACCGCCUGUCUCCCCACAUUCUCAGGUUUCUGGAGAGCAGCUGAAAGCCAUCUGGGUGGAGGUUAAGAGCUCCAACUGUGUAGCUUUUAUGUAUCGGGCAAGUUGCUUAAGCUCUUUAAUGCUGUUUCCUCAUUUAUUGUGUGAGGCCAAAAAUACCCAUUCCUUAAAGUUGUGAGGAUUAAAAACAGUAAUGAAAAGUGAGUGGCAAGUGCCGAGUACAUAGUCAAGUACCUGGUACUUUUUAGUGUAAGGUAAGUAGCAAGAAAGCAUGAAACUUAUUUCCAUUUACUCUUACUACAUGCGGUAAACCAUCUAUGCACAGAGCACUGCAUUGGGUGCCAUGAAUGACAGAAUAAGAGUAACAGGUGCAUGAAAAGCUUAAAAGACAAAUGAGACAGAGCUAGGUUGCAGAAGACUUAAAAAGUUUAUGUAUUUAACUUUUAAUGGACACACUGUACAUGUUUAUGGGGUACGAUUUGUUGUUCCCAUGCAUAUCUGUGUUGUGUAAUGAUCCAAUCAGGGUAGUGUGCAUGCCCGUUUCCUCAAGGGUGGAUCAUUAUGCGUAUCAUCAUGCAUCAUCAUGUAUCAUGCAUGUACCAUCAUCAUGCAUCAUUAUGCAUCAUCAUGCCUGUAUCAUUAUGUAUCACCUCAUGCAUAUAUUAUAAUGUAUCACCUC
rnacentral:lncRNA from 1 species